rnacentral:lncRNA from 1 species
AUGGAGCUAAUUAGCUGUUUGGGAACAUGUAUUUCUUCAUUCCUUAAGCUGGAGAAAAGUCCAUUAAACACCUACAUAUAUUAUUUUAGCAACUGUCUUAUUCUUAACUGUACUACAUGGGAGACAGCUAGAUUUCAGGUGAGUGCAUGUGGAAUUUUCCUUUCUAGCCCAGCCAUGCCAAAUGUUUAUGGGGUUUACAUGACUACACUUGAAGAUUUGCUGAUGAAGUGUAUCCAUUGUGCUUACCAAAAGGAGCUCAGUACAAGUACGUGGUUUAUGGUCAGAAGUGUUUGGGAGAAAAGAAAAUUUCCACAGGGUGCUUUUCCCAAAAGAGAAAAGAACAGGCUGACUAGGUAUUUCACAUUUACUUGGCCAACUGUGUCAUCUGCUCCACUCAGGGCACAGUUACUUGACUUCCCCCCUCCUAAAGUCCCAAGUGCUGUCGUCUGCAAAAUAAGCUGCUGGUGUUUUUCACUGUCCGUGAAAACUUUCCUGACAACACCCAAAUCUUCUUUUGCUUGUGAGAAAUGUUUUGCUUUGGACCUUCCAAAACAAGCCUGAAGGCAUUUUGGUGGUACAGACCAUAUGGCAAAAUUGCUAAAUUAUUAAAUCUACAGACUGGUAGACAAGCAAUGCUUUGAAUUUAUCCACCAACAAAGAAUUGCCAAGCUGUAUGAGGCAUUCAGUUUGUGGAUGUGAACUGGAUUGGAAACAUGUAUGAGAAGGAAAAGGCGCGCGUAAAGACG